GACAGAGGGUGCAAACGUUGUUCGGAAUUACUGGGCGUAAAGCGAGUGUAGGCGGUUUGGUUAGUCGGAUGUGAAAGCCCCGGGCUCAACCCGGGAAGUGCAUUCGAUACUGCCAAGCUAGAGUAUCGGAGAGGUUGGUGGAAUUCUCGGUGUAGAGGUGAAAUUCGUAGAUAUCGAGAGGAACACCGGCGGCGAAGGCGGCCAACUGGACGAAUACUGACGCUGAGACUCGAAAGCGUGGGGAGCAAACAGG
rnacentral:rRNA from 1 species